ACAAAACCCACCAUUGAAUUCCAUUGUCUUGUAUGGCAUAAACUUGAGAGAGUGGGUAUUGCCUUCCUGGCUGAUUGGUCCCAGAUGAUGUGAUUUGCUUCCUUGGAGCUAUGCAAAUGUCUUUAGCAUAAAGUGAGCCCAUGAAUCCUUAGAGCUCCAUAUUUCAUUGGCAUCACCAUUUCUACAGAGAGCAGGACACUUUUAACGACCAAUUUCCAGAGCAUGGUGGCUUAUCAAAUGAUUAACCACUAUUCCAACAACGCAUCCUGCCUCCAAAGUCAAACCUACCUUUCUAUCAUUUUGGCAUUAUGAUUAUUAUUAUUAUUAUUAUUCUCCUUGUCUUUUUUAUUAUUUUUUAAUGUCCUGAGGAGGAAGAAGGAAUCUUUAUGAUCAAAAUCGGGAAUAAUUUACUACUACACUGUAUUACUACUGCAUAUAUAAUAAUGAUAAUGUAAUUACAGGCAAUAAAAGAUCAGAAAGUAGAAUUGAUUGGGGAAUGGUACCAACAGAGGAAAAUUAUUUAUUUCAUAAUCAAAUGCCAAUGAAUUAUAGCAUAUGAAGUAUGAACUCAAGAUGAGUUGGUCUGUGGUCCCAUGCAAUACACAGAGUCAACAGUGAUAGGAUAGCUGCUGCAACAAAUUCUUCAAUACAUGCCCACAAUCCCCAAAUUAUAACUGCUACUUAAUAUAUCUGUAAAAUACUGAGGUACACAUUGAAAUAAUUAAAAAAAAAAAAAAAAACCUCCCCCAUUACUGCCCACCAUCUGCUGUUAUUAUAUACAAUUUGCAAAUAGCCAUUU